rnacentral:misc_RNA from 1 species
GCAAACUUGGUCAUUUAGAGGAAGUAAAAGUCGUAACAAGGUUUCCGUAGGUGAACCUGCGGAAGGAUCAUUACCAAAAUGGUGGUCGGUUCGCGGGCAUCCCUCUUCAAGGGAAGACUCCCUUAGAGGUGUGUCCGUCCGUCCUAAUACCUUCAACCCUUGAACACUUAGCCCUGUUGCCUCGGCGGGUCCGCCCGCCAGAGGACACAAACCAAACUACUGUUGUUAACGGUGUGGUCUGAGCUAUACAAAAAGCAAUUGUUUAAAACUUUCAACAACGGAUCUCUUGGUUCUGGCAUCGAUGAAGAACGCAGC